AUUGAACGCUGGCGGCAGGCCUAACACAUGCAAGUCGGACGGUCUUUUCUAUGGAAGCUUGCUUCCACUGAGAAGAUAGUGGCGAACGGGUGAGUAACACGUGGGUAACCUGCCCAUAAGAGGGGGAUAACAUCCGGAAACGGGUGCUAAUACCGCAUAGUUUUCUUGAUCGCAUGAUCGGGAAAGGAAAGACGGCCUUUGUGCUGUCGCUUAUGGAUGGACCCGCGGCGUAUUGGGUAGUUGGUGAGGUAAUGGCUCACCAAGACGAUGACACGGAGCGGACCUGUGAGGGUGAUCGGCCACAUUGGGACUGAGAAACGGCCCAAACUCCUACGGGAGGCAGCAGUAGGGAAUCUUCCGCAAUGGACGGAAGUCUGACGGAGCAACGCCGCGUGAGUGAAGAAGGUUUUCGGAUCGUAAAACUCUGUUGUCAGAGAAGAACAAGUUGGAGAGUAACUGCUCCAGCCUUGACGGUAUCUGACCAGAAAGCCACGGCUAACUACGUGCCAGCCGCCGCGGUAAAAC
rnacentral:rRNA from 1 species